UACGUAGGUGGCAAGCGUUGUCCGGAAUUAUUGGGCGUAAAGCGCGCGCAGGCGGUUCCUUAAGUCUGAUGUGAAAGCCCCCGGCUCAACCGGGGAGGGUCAUUGGAAACUGGGGAACUUGAGUGCAGAAGAGGAGAGCGGAAUUCCACGUGUAGCGGUGAAAUGCGUAGAGAUGUGGAGGAACACCAGUGGCGAAGGCGGCUCUCUGGUCUGUAACUGACGCUGAGGCGCGAAAGCGUGGGGAGCGAACAGGAUUAGAUACCCUGGUAGUCCACGCCGUAAACGAUGAGUGCUAAGUGUUAGAGGGUUUCCGCCCUUUAGUGCUGCAGCAAACGCAUUAAGCACUCCGCCUGGGGAGUACGGCCGCAAGGCUGAA
rnacentral:rRNA from 1 species